CCUACGGGGGGCAGCAGUAGGGAAUAUUGCUCAAUGGGGGAAACCCUGAAGCAGCAACGCCGCGUGGAGGAUGAAGGUUUUCGGAUUGUAAACUCCUUUUGUUAGAGAAGAUAAUGACGGUAUCUAACGAAUAAGCACCGGCUAACUACGUGCCAGCAGCCGCGGUAAUACGGAGGGUGCAAGCGUUACUCGGAAUCACUGGGCGUAAAGAGCGCGUAGGCGGGAUAGCAAGUCAGAUGUGAAAUCCUAUGGCUUAACCAUAGAACUGCAUUUGAAACUGUUAGUCUAGAGUAUGGGAGAGGUAGGUGGAAUUCGUGGUGUAGGGGUAAAAUGCGUAGAGAUCAAGAGGAAUACUCAUUGCGAAGGCGACCUGCUAGAACAUAACUGACGCUGAGGCGCGAAAGCGUGGGGAGCAAACAGGAUUAGAUACCCCUGUAGUC
rnacentral:rRNA from 1 species